rnacentral:misc_RNA from 1 species
AACGCACGAGACCUGCGGACCUGCGGAAGGAUCAUUCACAAUAAGUGUUUUAUGGCACUUUAAUUCCAUAUCCACCUUGUGUGCAACGUAGUUCGUUUUUCGAACAAAACAUCAACAUUUUAAUUAUCAACAGAUCGUCUGAAGUAUUAUAUGAAUAAAUCAAUUCAAAAUACAACUUUCAACAACGGAUCUCU